GUUAAGCUUCCUGGUCGCCAUUUCGUUAAAGGUAUUAUUUCUUCAAGAAAUAUAGCAGCCAAUUACUGUGAACCAUGUACUGCGCGUGGUAUGACUCCAACUGCAUCCGAAUGGUGUACCGAAUGCGAAGAAGCCCUAUGUUCCGAUUGUACAGAGGCGCAUAGAGUUCAAAAAAUGUCAAAAAAUCACCAUUUAGUACAUGUAGAUAACAUACUGGAACAAAUCAAUUUAUCGUAUAAUUGUUCAAAGCAUCAACAUUUACUUUUGACUAUUUUUGUGUUGAUCAUGAUGUUAUUUGUUGUAAGGAAUGUUGGCCAAAAAAUCAUCAAACAUGCAAGAACGUCACAGCCAUUGACAUUGCGUCAAAAAAUUCCAAACAAUCGCAGUCUUUCCUGGAUUAUGAAGAACAGUUGCACUUUCUUUUAGAAGCAUUAGAAAACUUGAACAAGAAUUGCAAGGAUAAUGGAAGUCGAAUUAAGAAAGAAGAAACCAAAAUUUUGAAACAAAUAAAAACAAUGAAAGAAAAUGUUAUCAAACAGUUGGAAGCUUUAGAAGAGUCACGUUUAAAACAGCUAACUGAAAAGAAAGACAAAUACGUAACCAGUUUGAAACGACAGGAGGAAUGUAUAAGGGGCUUAGUAAACUCCACAAAAGCUAAAAAGGAAUUGUUGGAAUUUGUUAGAGAUCAUGGUUCUGAUAAACAAGCGUUCGUUUCUAUUCAUUCAUCCAAACCAGUCUUAGAUGAAAUUGAAAACAAAGUUCAACAGCUUACCGAAUCGUUUGCAGACACAAGUAUUACGUUCGUCGAAAACGUCUCGAAGGAAAAAUUAGCAGAUCUCGGGUCAAUAGAAUUAAAGGAAACAUCUUGUUCCUUUUCAUUUGUCCCAUACAAGCAGUGCCGGUCACAGGUUCCAAUUGUUAUGAAGCACCAGAUAAUAUCAUUUACCAAUCUCUACAACAUCGACAUGAAAGGAGAAAGGUUAAUAGGAGUAACUGGCAUAACGGUAUCAGACAAUAACACAUUGAUUUUCUGUGAUGUGAUUACAAAAAAAGGUAUAUUUUUGUGAUGAAAACGAUACAUACCAAUCAUCUAUCAGCUCUCAAUAUCAACCAUGGGAUAUAGCAACAAUACCAGGAACAACCACUGCUGUUGUGUCAAGUAGAUAUGAACCGUACAUACAGUUUCUAGAUACCAAAAGAUGCAGGAUAUCAAAGAAGGUAGAAGUGAAACAAAGUGGAGGUUAUGGUGUUGCUGCUUCAAAUGAUGCUAUAUUUGUAGGUACUGGAGACAAUAUACAGGUCCUAGACUUCAAUGGAAAUAUUCUAAGAACAGUUCGUCUAAAAUACGGGUUUGGACAGAACACCGGUGGAUACAUUUCCAUUUUCUCAGAUGGGAACAUUACUUAUUCGAACACGAAGGAAGUCCAUUGCACUACAUUAGAUGGAUGUCAUGUUUUCUCGUAUUCGUUACCUGAUCUUCGUUGCCCACGAAAUAUGGAUAAUGCUGGAAACAUAUACGUUUUGAGUAAAUUGUCACACAAUAUUCAUAAACUUACAUCAACCGGAACUUUAGUAGAAAUCUGUUUGAAAGAUGGUUUGUCCUUUCCUCAAGCGUUUUGUUUUAAUAAGGACUUGUCUAAAUGUUAUAUUGCAAAUAGAAAUGGAACGACAAUAUCAGUAUUCAAGACAAAUUAGUAACAUUUUGAGUGAGUUUGCACAUACAUUUUUAAAGUUCGAUGAUAAAUUUCAAUACAAACAUGACUACGGUUGGAUUAGUUAUUACAGUGUAUCUUAAUCAUGUUAAUGGAAUGAAAUCAAUUUGCCUCAUUUUAUGUUAUGUAUUGUAAUUUGUUGUGUUUUAUUAUUUUUUUAAUUAUUUUUUCUAAAACAAUUUUCUAUAAAUUAAUUCUUAAAUUGGUUUCAGGUUUCGAGAGAUUUGCGUAAUAUAAUAUCACGGGCACUUAGAGAUCUUCCUUUUUGUGUUAAAGAUUUCCUCCUUAAAAAUUCGUAUAUAUUUCAACUUAUUUUCCUAUACAAUAACUGUCGUUUACACGUGCUGUCAAUUACAUUAUGAGUAGAGGGACGGUACUUGUAAACGACAAUUAUUGAAAAUUUAAUUGAAUAAAGCAAACAUACAUUAAGUAAGGAAUAAGAACUUCAAAUAUUAAAGAAAAUUCAAUAAAAAUCUUAUUAAAUAAAAAUAAAAAACAAAGGAGGUGGCUCAUGAAUACCCGAAGAUUUGUGUAUAGUAUUUGAAGUAUUAGCCCGUUAAAGUUAAAUUGAAACAUAUUCUGGUAAAUGAUAAAGCAUAUAUACACGAAAUUAUUUGAAUAUUUGUGUAAUUGAUAAAAAUGAUAAACACCCAAAACUGUUAAUACUGAAAGGAAAACUGAUGUUUUUUUCAUGUAAUAUUUUAAUGUUCUACAACAGGACCCGAAGAAAUAAACCAUGAGUAGUGUGCUAUUGCAUUUUGUCAUAAACAUCUGUUAUAUUUUU